rnacentral:rRNA from 1 species
GGGGGAUAUUGCACAAUGGGGGAAACCCUGAUGCAGCGACGCCGCGUGGAGGAAGAAGGUUUUCGGAUUGUAAACUCCUGUCGUUAGGGACGAUAAUGACGGUACCUAACAAGAAAGCACCGGCUAACUACGUGCCAGCAGCCGCGGUAAAACGUAGGGUGCAAGCGUUGUCCGGAAUUACUGGGUGUAAAGGGAGCGCAGGCGGGAAGACAAGUUGGAAGUGAAAACCAUGGGCUCAACCCAUGAAUUGCUUUCAAAACUGUUUUUCUUGAGUAGUGCAGAGGUAGAUGGAAUUCCCGGUGUAGCGGUGGAAUGCGUAGAUAUCGGGAGGAACACCAGUGGCGAAGGCGGUCUACUGGGCACCAACUGACGCUGAGGCUCGAAAGCAUGGGUAGCAAACAGGAUUAGAUACCCUGGUAGUCCACACCGUAAACGAUGAUUACUAGGUGUUGGAGGAUUGACCCCUUCAGUGCCGCAGUUAACACAAUAAGUAAUCCACCUGGGGAGUACGACCGCAAGGUUGAAACUCAAAGGAAUUGACGGGGGCCCGCACAAGCAGUGGAGUAUGUGGUUUAAUUCGACGCAACGCGAAGAACCUUACCAAGUCUUGACAUCCCUUGACGAACAUAGAAAUAUGUUUUCUCUUCGGAGCAAGGAGACAGGUGGUGCAUGGUUGUCGUCAGCUCGUGUCGUGAGAUGUUGGGUUAAGUCCCGCAACGAGCGCAACCCUUACUGUCAGUUACUACGUUAAGAGGACUCUGGCGAGACUGCCGUUGACAAAACGGAGGAAGGUGGGGAUGACGUCAAAUCAUCAUGCCCUUUAUGACCUGGGCUACACACGUACUACAAUGGCGUUAAACAAAGAGAAGCAAGACCGCGAGGUGGAGCAAAACUCAAAAACAACGUCUCAGUUCAGAUUGCAGGCUGCAACUCGCCUGCAUGAAGUCGGAAUUGCUAGUAAUUGCGGAUCAGCAUGCCGCGGUGAAUACGUUCCCG